rnacentral:rRNA from 1 species
GACGAACGCUGGCGGCGUGCCUAAUACAUGCAAGUCGAGCGGAGUUAUUUUGAAAGCUUGCUUUCAAAAUAACUUAGCGGCGGACGGGUGAGUAACACGUAGGCAACCUGCCCCUUAGACUGGGAUAACUACCGGAAACGGUAGCUAAUACCGGAUAAUUUCUUUUUUCUCCUGAAGAAAGAAUGAAAGACGGAGCAAUCUGUCACUGAGGGAUGGGCCUGCGGCGCAUUAGCUAGUUGGUGGGGUAACGGCCCACCAAGGCGACGAUGCGUAGCCGACCUGAGAGGGUGAACGGCCACACUGGGACUGAGACACGGCCCAGACUCCUACGGGAGGCAGCAGUAGGGAAUCUUCCGCAAUGGACGAAAGUCUGACGGAGCAACGCCGCGUGAGUGAUGAAGGUUUUCGGAUCGUAAAGCUCUGUUGCCAGGGAAGAACGUCCGGUAGAGUAACUGCUAUCGGAGUGACGGUACCUGAGAAGAAAGCCCCGGCUAACUACGUGCCAGCAGCCGCGGUAAUACGUAGGGGGCAAGCGUUGUCCGGAAUUACUGGGCGUAAAGCGCGCGCAGGCGGUCAUUUAAGUCUGGUGUUUAAACCUUGGGCUCAACCUGAGGUCGCACUGGAAACUGGGUGACUUGAGUACA